rnacentral:lncRNA from 1 species
AAUUUCCACCCUUGAUUGAUGUAGAUGUCCCUAUAUACCAAAUAACUCUUUCAUACUCAAGAUAUUAGGUAGGCUCUUACAUAUCACGUUAUCAUCGUAUCAGAUUUUCUACAUUCGAAAAAUAAAUGUAUAUAAUCGUCACUUUUAUCAUCGUUAAUUGAUACGUGUUUGUGCUUACCUACGAAUUGUUAAUUAAAUGACUUCGAGGCGAUCAAAUAGAGAGCAGAGUGUAUAACUGACGUUUUCCUGAAAAAUAAAAUUUCAUAUAUGCUUUAGCGUUUGUGGGCAAAUGCAACAAAAACAUUCACAAAAAUGAGAAAAAACAUGUUAUAGGUGCUCAAAUAUUUCAAAAUAUACAACAUGUAUAAUGAUGUAAACCUGGAAAUUAGAAAUGUUGAUAUAACUGGGUCGGUAAAUAUCUGACAUUGUUUGAUAGUUGAUUACGCUGUGAAAAUAUUCGUCGAAAUCAAAAAACGUAACCAAAAUGAAAUGGUAGGGUUUGUCUGCAACAACAUCAACCAAAAUGGUUAAAUUAUUAAGAAAGGAUCAUAAGAAAAUAGAGAAGAUGUGUAGAAGGAUGAUGAUGUCAACCUAGAUAUUAGGAAAGUUAAUAUAAGAAUGACAAGUAUUUUACCACAUUCAAUACAGUUGAUCACGCAUCAGAAUCUUCACCGAGAUCUAAAACUCACCAAAAAUAUAUAUCAUCGUAGGAUUUAUUUACAACAAUAUCGGGCAAAAUGGUCAGACCAUCGAGAUCAAAUCUCAAGAAAAUGAAGAACCCUAAAAGGAGAGAGCGGCGGAAUUGGGAAACGAAAGGAUAUUGAUGAAAAUCG